rnacentral:rRNA from 1 species
AUGUUAUACCACGGAAUUCCCAGGUUGAUUACGCCCGUUCCUGUUUCCCAAAAAAGAGACAUCUCCGGUGUGGCCGCCCCGCCUCCACCUCCUCUCCCUGGCUUCGGCCGUCGCCUUGCGCCCCACCUUCUCCCCUGGCUCCGGCCGUCGCCCCGUGUCCCACCUUCUACCCCCGACUCCGGCCGUCCCCCACGCCUCACCUUCUCCCUCGGCUCCGGCCGUCGCCCCACGCCCCACCUUCUCCCUCGGCUCCGGUCGCCGCCCAAUUCCCCACUAUCUCGUGCCCCUGGCCGCACCCCAUCCACCAUCCCCAUCGCCGGCCGCCCCCAUCCGCAGCGCGCCUGCCGUCCCCAUCCCUAG